rnacentral:tRNA from 1 species
AGCUCAGUGGGUUGAGCUCGGUGCUGAAAACACUGAGGUCCUGGGUUCAAUUCCCAU